AUAUUUCUUGCAAUGAAUAACAUUGAUGGGAAACUAUUUUGAUUCUUUACUACCAUCUUAUAAUGCUUUGUAGUUCUCCUUGGACUUUGAAGGAGCAUCAGUCCUAUUUAUAUUUAAUAUUAGAUGAUCUGAAGUAUAUUAAACAAUCAUAUACAAUGUAAUAUGUAUAUUUUAUUUUUAUUCAUAUUAUAGAUAAAAUUCUAUUGACUGAUUAAUGGUUCUUAAAUCCAGUUGCCCAUCAGAAUCAUCUGAGGAUUUUUAAAAAUGUCGACUUCCAGUCUCACUCGAGAUGUGCUGAACUAGAAUUAGGGUAGGGGUGGAGGUGAGAAGUCAGAAUGGAUUUAAAUAAGCUCCCUAGCUAAUUCUUAAUCAUAGACAGUUUGGGAAUCUCAUAUACACAGUGUCUGUAUUGAUUGUAGAAGAAGAAGAAUAAAAACAUAGCUAAAAUCUUUGUAUGCUAGGGAUAAGUGAGGGGUUGUUAUGUCAUAGUCCUUUGAGUACCUGGAUCUUCCUGGGUGCGUUGUGGGUUUUUUUGGCAAAGAAGUAGGUUGUGUGUGUGUGUGGCGAGAGAGAGAGAGGUUGGAAGUUAUGGAGUGCUGUAAGGCAUUAUAGGAACUAUGAAAACCUUAUUGCCCAGCAUCUAGUCUCCAGUCUUUCAUCCAGGCAGUUAGCACUUUUGUUUUGGUUUUGUUUUAUAACUGUACUCUGUUAUAUUUACAAUAAUGAGAUUUUGGUUAUAAUAUUCAUUCUAUUACCAAACUAGAAAAUCCAUAUUUGGUUAUGUUAAACCUUCUCUGGAAACUACCAGGUUUAAUAUGUACUUACUCUUUCAGCCAGGCUGGCUUUUAUUCUGUGGUCUGCUCAGUUCUUACUGCUGUUUUUCUGGAGUCCAGCUCCCAGUCUGCCCUUGCUUACCUCCUACAAGAGCGGACAUUAACUGG